CACAAGCGGUGGAUGAUGUGGUUUAAUUCGAUGCAACGCGAAAACCUUACCCACCUUUGACAUGUAUGGAAGUUUCCAGAGAUGGAUUCGUGCUCGAAAGAGAGCCAUAACACAGGUGCUGCAUGGCUGUCGUCAGCUCGUGUCGUGAGAUGUUGGGUUAAGUCCCGCAACGAGCGCAACCCUUGUCAUUAGUUGCUACAUUCAGUUGGGCACUCUAAUGAGACUGCCGGUGACAAACCGGAGGAAGGUGGGGAUGACGUCAAGUCCUCAUGGCCCUUAUAGGUGGGGCUACACACGUCAUACAAUGGCCGGUACAAAGGGUCGCAAACCCGCGAGGGGGAGCCAAUCCAUCAAAGCCGGUCGUAGUCCGGAUCGCAGUCUGCAACUCGACUGCGUGAAGUCGGAAUCGCUAGUAAUCGUGGAUCAGCAUGUCACGGUGAAUACGUUCCCGGGUCUU
rnacentral:rRNA from 1 species